rnacentral:rRNA from 1 species
CCCAUACUCCUACGGGAGGCAGCAGCAGGGAAUAUUGCACAAUGGACGGAAGUCUGAUGCAGCGACGCCGCGUGAGUGAAGACGGCCUUCGGGUUGUAAAGCUCUUUUACGGGGGACGAGGAAGGACGGUACCCUGGGAAGAAGUGUUGGCUAACUACGUGCCAGCAGCCGCGGUAAGACGUAGGACACAAGCGUUAUCCGGAGUUACUGGGCGUAAAGCGCCUGCAGGCGGCCUGGUAAGUUGGACGUGAAAGCCCCGUGCUUAACGCGGGGAGGUCGGACAAUACUGCCAAGCUAGAGUGCGUCAGAGGGGAGUGGAAUUUCCGGAGUAGCGGUAAAAUGCGCAGAUAUCGGAAGGAACACCAGUGGCGAAAGCGACUCCCUGGGGCGCGACUGACGCUAAGAGGCGAAAGCUAGGGGAGCGAACAGGAUUAGAGACCCUGGUAGUCCUAGCCCUAAACGAUGGAUGCUAGGUGUGGGACGUAAAGUUCCGUGCCGGAGCCAACGCGAUAAGCAUCCCGCCUGGGGACUACGGUCGCAAGGCUAAAACUCAAACGAAUUGACGGGGACCCGCACAAGCAGCGGAGCGUGUGGUUCAAUUCGAUGCUACACGAAGAACCUUACCUGGGUUUGACAUGUACGUGGUAGAGAAGCGAAAGCGGAUUGACCCUUCGGGGAGCGUACACAGGUGCUGCAUGGCUGUCGUCAGCUCGUGCCGUGAGGUGUCGGGUUAAGUCCCGUAACGAGCGCAACCCUUAUCCUUAGUUGCACGUAUCUAGGGAGACUGCCGGCGGGAAGCCGGAGGAAGGUGGGGAUGACGUCAAGUCAGCAUGGCCCUUAUGUCCAGGGCUACACACACGCUACAAUGGCCGGUACAAAGGGCAGCAAAGUCGCGAGGCGGAGCGAAUCCCAACAAAGCCGGGUCGUAGUUCGGAUUGCAGGCUGCAACUCGCCUGCAUGAAGCUGGAGUUGCUAGUAACCGCGCGUCAGCUAUAGUGCGGUGAAUACGUACCCGGGUCUUGUACACACCGCCCGUCACGUCA